rnacentral:rRNA from 1 species
GACGAACGCUGGCGGCGUGCUUAACACAUGCAAGUCGAACGGUGAAGCGCCUUCCUUUUUGGUGGGUGUGGAUGAGUGGAGAACGGGGGAGUAACACGUGAGUAACCUGCUCCCACCUGCUGGAUAACCGCAUGAAAGUGUGGCUAAUACGGGAUAUUCUGGGUCUGUCGCAUGAUAGGUCUGGGAAGGAUAUGGUGUCGGUGGGGGAUGGGGUCGCGGCCUAUCAGCUUGUUGGUGGGGUGAUGGCCUACCAAGGCGGUGACGAGUAGCCGUCCUGAGAGGGUCGACGGUCCCACUGGUGCUGCGCCGCCGACCCGCCUCCUACGGGCGGCAGUAGUGGGGAUUCUUGCACAGUGGGAGCACGGAUGGUGCAGCGACGCCGCGUGGGGGAUGGACUCCGUCGGGUUGUGCUCCUCUUUCGCCAGUGAAGAUAGCUUGACUCGUUUGUGGGUGGGUUGACGGUAGCUAGACAAGAAGCGCCGGCUAACUACGUG